AUAAACGCACGCGAGCUGACAAAGUAAGUUAACGCGCUUUCAGAAAUGUUCACUUGAAUCACAGCAGGAAGAAAAUCCAUCGACGAUUGGCGUCUGAUUCGCUCUAAAAAGUAAUGUUUGUUCAGAUAUCCUGAGUAGCUGUUAUUCAACAUAAACACAUUUCCGCACACAUGAAGAUGGAUGACGAUAGUUCAUCUUAAAAUGAAACUUAUGUUUAUCAGCUUACCCCCAGGCCAUCCAAGAGAUGCUCUUAAGAACAACGCCCUGAUGUCCAAGGUCAACCAGCAAGAAGCUGAGAAGGCACUGCCAAAAUGGUUUACUGGGGCAAGGGACAGAGGAGGACAGAGAGCAUCAAGAAUGCAGAAAAGGAUGUCUGUUUGAGAAAGGUUAAAACUACAGUUGUUGAUUUGAACUGUUGUAGUUCUUUAAUUUUUCUUAAAGGAAAACACAAUCAUUUUUCAAUAUUUACCAUGUUCUUCCCUCAACUUAGAUGAAUUAAUACAAACCUCUCUUUUCUCAAUGUGUGCACUUAAAGGUGGGGUGCACAAUUUCUAAAAAAAAAACGUUUUGGAAAAGGGAGACAGGCCGACUAUCAAAACA